GUGAGGAAUAUUGGUCAAUGGACGCGAGUCUGAACCAGCCAAGUAGCGUGAAGGAUGACUGCCCUAUGGGUUGUAAACUUCUUUUAUAAGGGAAUAAAGUGAGGGACGUGUCCCUUUUUGUAUGUACCUUAUGAAUAAGGAUCGGCUAACUCCGUGCCAGCAGCCGCGGUAAUACGGAGGAUCCAAGCGUUAUCCGGAUUUAUUGGGUUUAAAGGGAGCGUAGGUUGACAUAUAAGUCAGCUGUGAAAGUUUACGGCUCAACCGUGAAAUUGCAGUUGAUACUGUAUGUCUUGAGUGUACAAGAGGUGGGCGGAAUUCGUGGUGUAGCGGUGAAAUGCUUAGAUAUCACGAAGAACUCCAAUUGCGAAGGCAGCUCACUGGGGUACAACUGACACUGAGGCUCGAAAGUGUGGGUAUCAAACAGGAUUAGAUACCCCUGUAGUCC
rnacentral:rRNA from 1 species